UCGAAUGAGUGAAGAUAAUUUUGAUUUU
rnacentral:sRNA from 1 species